CCACAGAGAAGUUGUGAUUUGCCCAAAGUCACACAGCAAGAUUGACUUCCUGACUUGGCUGCAAAGUGAUGUGAAUUUUGGGGUGAACGUCAUAAAAAGGCCCUGCUCUGGAGCUUCCACGAUGGGUGAUGGUGUCACACAUUCUCAACAACUGAGCUGAAACAAUAACAAAAAAAUCACCACAUUUCAAAGUGAAGGCAAAGCGGGAAGGAGUGAACCUGAGAAUCGUUCCCAAAGUCCAGGAAAACAGACUGGCCAGGAAACCUCCGCCAAUUUCCCCCGUCCGGGCUCACUCUCGGCUCCCCUGUCAAGCAACCCCUCAGUGGUAUUUAUCGA